UACGUAGGGUGCGAGCGUUAAUCGGAAUUACUGGGCGUAAAGUGUGCGCAGGCGGCCGCGCAAGUCGAGUGUGAAAUCCCCGAGCUUAGCUUGGGAAUUGCGCUCGAAACUACGUGGCUGGAGUGUGGCAGAGGAAGGUGGAAUUCCACGUGUAGCGGUGAAAUGCGUAGAUAUGUGGAGGAACGCCGAUGGCGAAGGCAGCCUUCUGGGCCAACACUGACGCUCAUGCACGAAAGCGUGGGGAGCAAACAGG
rnacentral:rRNA from 1 species